rnacentral:rRNA from 1 species
AGAGUUUGAUCCUGGCUCAGGAUGAACGCUAGCGACAGGCUUAACACAUGCAAGUCGAGGGGCAGCAAUUUGUAGCAAUACAAAGUUGGCGACCGGCGCACGGGUGAGUAACGCGUAUGCAACCUACCUACAACAGAAGAAUAAUCCGGCGAAAGUCGGUCUAAUACUUCAUAAAACAGGGACACCGCAUGGUGUUAUUUGUUAAAGAUUUAUCGGUUGUAGAUGGGCAUGCGUACCAUUAGGUAGUUGGUGAGGUAACGGCCCACCAAGCCUACGAUGGUUAGGGGUUCUGAGAGGAAAGUCCCCCACACUGGUACUGAGACACGGACCAGACUCCUACGGGAGGCAGCAGUGAGGAAUAUUGGUCAAUGGGCGAGAGCCUGAACCAGCCAAGUCGCGUGAAGGAUGACGGCCCUAUGGGUUGUAAACUUCUUUUGCAGGGGAAUAAAGAUAUUCACGUGUGGGUAGUUGUAUGUACCCUGCGAAUAAGCAUCGGCUAACUCCGUGCCAGCAGCCGCGGUAAUACGGAGGAUGCGAGCGUUAUCCGGAUUUAUUGGGUUUAAAGGGUGCGUAGGUGGGCUAUUAAGUCAGUGGUGAAAGUUUGUCGCUCAACGAUAAAAUUGCCGUUGAAACUGGUGGUCUUGAGUAUGGAUGAAGUAGGCGGAAUGCGUGGUGUAGCGGUGAAAUGCAUAGAGAUCACGCAGAACUCCGAUUGCGAAGGCAGCUUACUAAGGCAUAACUGACACUGAAGCACGAAAGCGUGGGUAUCAAACAGGAUUAGAUACCCUGGUAGUCCACGCAGUAAACGAUGAUUACUAGGAGUUUGCGAUAUAGUGUAAGCUCUACAGCGAAAGCGUUAAGUAAUCCACCUGGGGAGUACGCCGGCAACGGUGAAACUCAAAGGAAUUGACGGGGGCCC